rnacentral:lncRNA from 1 species
CGGCUUUAGUUCUCUGUUUCUGUCUCAGUCUCCUGUAGGUUCUAGCCUUAGCUAUUUUCUUUCCUCUUUCCUUUUAAGGACUUUGGUUUGAUUAUUUGCUAUGGCCCAAAUAGGCCUCUGUUGUUCUUAAGUCUCUUUCCCAGUCCUCUGUGUCUUGGUGUUUGGACAUUAGGUUGCCUUUGUCCCUGUCUUUCGCUUCCAGUAUUCUGAGAAGUUACACAGCAGGGCCCUUUCUCCAUGGCAGGAAACGGAAUCCUGGGCUGAAGAUUCCAAAAGAAGCAUUUGAACAGCCUCAGACCAGUUCAGCGUAAGUUUUCAAAAUUUUGUUGCUUAUGGAUCAUAAACUUCUAGAGACCACU